AUUAAUUUUAGCUGUUAUUUUUUUAAAAUGAGCCGGUUAAUUUUUUUUUAUUUUUAUUCUUGCUUAUUUAUUCAUUUUUUCAUUGUAUUAUAUGCAAGAUUUGUUAAACUAAAAGUUCUUUUUGCAGUGAUUUCAUUUAAUUAUCAAGUAAUUUUGGAAUUAGUAAUUGAUUGAUUAUUGGCAUAAUUCGUGCCAGAAGCUGCGGUUAUAUGAUUAAUACAAGUGAAUAUAUAUGGUUAGGUUUUGGAUUUUUUAAAAAUUUAUAAGUUCAAAUAAAAAAAAUUAUGGUUCUUAGUAUAUGACUCUGUGUAAUUUAAAUAAUAAACUAGGAUUAGAUACCCUAUUAUUUUAAGUGUUAAUUUUGCUUACCUGCGUAGUAUUAGUUAGGAUCUUAAAACCCAAAGAAUUUGGCGGUGUCUCUUUCCAUUUAGAGGAACCUACCCCGUAAUUGAUAAUAUACGAUUAACUUUACUUCAUUUAUUUGUUUGUAUAUCUCCGUUAUCAGAAAAUCUUUUUGGAGUUAUAAUUUUCUUACUUUGAAUUGUAAAGUAUUUCAGAUCAAGGUGCAGCUUAUAAUUAAGAGGAAGUGGGUCCCAAUAAAUUUUAGUUUAUUACGUAUUUGAUAGUGACAUACUAUCAAUGAAGUUGGGUUUAAUAGUAAUUUAAUUUAUUUAGUUUAAUUGAUAUUGGCUCUGGGGUGUGGACACAUCCCCCGUCACUCUCAUUAUUGAAUUAUCUAUUUUAAUUUAAAGUUAGUUUCAAUUUAGAUGAGAUAAGUCGUAACAUAGUAGAUGUACUGGAAAGUGUAUCUAGAAAGGUUAUC
rnacentral:ncRNA from 1 species